rnacentral:rRNA from 1 species
CACGCAUGACACACUGCAUAUCAAUAAGCGGAGGAAAAGAAACUAACAAGGAUUCCCUUAGUAACGGCGAGUGAAGCGGGAAGAGCUCAAAUUUGAAAUCUUCAAGGUUCUACCUUGACGAAUUGUAGUUUAUAGAAGUGUUUUCUGUUAGUAGGAGUGGCAAAAGUUCUUUGGAAUAGGACAUCAUAGAGGGUGAGAAUCCCGUAUUUGGUCAUUCCUCCUAGCGUUGUGAUACACUUUCAACGAGUCGGAUUGUUUGGGAAUGCAGUCCAAAAUGGGUGGUAAAUUUCAUCUAAAGCUAAAUAUUGGCGAGAGACCGAUAGCGAACAAGUACCGUGAGGGAAAGAUGAAAAGAACUUUGAAAAGAGAGUUAAACAGUACGUGAAAUUGUCAAAAGGGAAGCGUUUGACACCAGUGUUGUUUUUCCGAAAAUCAAUUACGAAUGUUUUGUUUUUAAGAAGUUAUGACUUCAUCGGCUUGCUUCUUUCUUUACGAAACUUUCUUAAUGCACUUUUCGGUUAACAAGUCAACAUCAAUUUCUUUUGUUGUAAAAGGGUAUGAGGAGGGUGGCUUUCUUUUCGGAGAAAGUGUUUAUAGCCUUGUACCUCUGCAAUCGGAGAGAUUGAGGUCUGCAGCGUAGAUCCUUCGGGGUUAGAUACGUUUGUGCUAAGUUAUAGCUUUUCAUAGACAACUUGUUGACUAUGUUUAGUCUUGUAGCUUACUCGCUUAUGCUAUUUUACCUACGCUUAGGAUGUUGACGAGACUGUCGAUCUC